rnacentral:rRNA from 1 species
GACGAACGCUGGCGGCGUGCUUAACACAUGCAAGUCGAACGGAGUGGCGAACGGGUGAGUAACACGUGGGUGACCUGCCCUGCACUUCGGGAUAAGCCUGGGAAACUGGGUCUAAUACCGGCGAGUGUGGGAUGGGCUCGCGGCCAAUCGGCUUGUUGGGGGGGUAAUGGCCUACGAAGGCGGCGACGGGUAGCCGGCCUGAGAGGGUGGACGGCCACCUUGGGACUGAGGCAGGGACCAGAAGGCUACGGGAGGCAGCCGUGGGGAAUAUGGCACAAUGGGCGGGAGACUGAGGCAACGGCGCCGCGUGGGGGAUGACGGCCUACGGGUUGUAAACUCCUUGCACCAUCGACGCGGUAGAUGGAGAAGAAGCACCGGCUAACUACGUGCCAGCAGCCGCGGUAAUAC